AGCCUCAUGGUGCUUAAUACAGGCUGUGUUCUUAUACUGACCAUAUAGAAAGAGGAGGUAAAGUAAACCUACCCCAUAUAUACCUCAGCCAAGCUCCUGUGCCUGGUCAGUACUGUGAAUGAGGAGAUGUGG
rnacentral:snoRNA from 1 species